CGGCUUUUCUGGUGGCGAAGCAGCAAGAGCCGUCCCAGCUCCUCACACCACGACGAGAGCAGUGCUACAAGUUCCGCUUCAUUCAGAAAACUAGUCUUCCUCUGCUCCCCCUCCUCAGCUUCUUCCUGCCUC